rnacentral:rRNA from 1 species
UACGUAGGGUGCAAGCGUUGUCCGGAAUUAUUGGGCGUAAAGAGCUCGUAGGCGGUUUGUCGCGUCUGCUGUGAAAACUCGGGCUUAACUCCGGCCUGCAGUGGGUACGGGCAGACUAGAGUGCGGUAGGGGAGACUGGAAUUCCUGGUGUAGCGGUGAAAUGCGCAGAUAUCAGGAGGAACACCGGUGGCGAAGGCGGGUCUCUGGGCCGUAACUGACGCUGAGGAGCGAAAGCGUGGGGAGCGAACAGGAUUGAG